rnacentral:rRNA from 1 species
UUACCUGGGCUCGAAAUGUAGUGGACCGGGUGAACAUCCUCCGCAAGGGCUGCUAUAUAGGUGCUGCAUGGCUGUCGUCAGCUCGUGUCGUGAGAGUGUUCGGGUUAAGUCCCGCAACGAGCGCAACCCUUAUUGUCAGUUGCCAUCAUUCAGUUGGGCACUCUGGCGAAACCGCCUCGGAUAACGGGGAGGAAGGUGGGGAUGACGUCAAGUCCUCAUGGCCUUUAUGUCCAGGGCUACACACGUGCUACAAUGGUCGGUACAAACCGUCGCAAACCCGCGAGGGGGAGCUAAUCGGAAAAAGCCGACCUCAGUUCGGAUUGAAGUCUGCAACUCGACUUCAUGAAGCUGGAAUCGCUAGUAAUCGCGGAUCAGAACGCCGCGGUGAAUACGUUCCCGGGCCUUGUACACACCGCCCGUCACAUCACGAAAGUGGGCUGUACUAGAAGCCGGUGGGCCAACCGCAAGGAGGCAGCCGUCCAAGGUAUAACUCAUGAUUGGGGUGAAGUCGUAACAAGGUAAGCGUAGUGCU